rnacentral:rRNA from 1 species
UACAGAGGGGGCCAGCGUUAUUCGGAAUUAUUGGGCGUAAAGGGCGCGUAGGCGGCUUUGCGUGUCUUUCGUGAAAUCCCUCGGCUCAACUGAGGACGUGCGGAAGAAACUGCAGGGCUGGAGUCCGGGAGAGGAGGGUGGAAUUCCCGGUGUAGCGGUGAAAUGCGUAGAUAUCGUGUGGAACGCCAAUGGUGAAAACAGGUCGCUGGGGAUGCGCUGACGCUGAGACACGAAAGCCAGGGGAGCAAACGGG